rnacentral:rRNA from 1 species
UACGUAGGGGGCAAGCGUUGUCCGGAAUUAUUGGGCGUAAAGCGCGCGCAGGCGGUCUCUUAAGUCUGAUGUGAAAGCCCACGGCUCAACCGUGGAGGGUCAUUGGAAACUGGGGGACUUGAGUGCAGAAGAGGAGAGUGGAAUUCCACGUGUAGCGGUGAAAUGCGUAGAGAUGUGGAGGAACACCAGUGGCGAAGGCGACUCUCUGGUCUGUAACUGACGCUGAGGCGCGAAAGCGUGGGGAGCGAACAGG